AAGGUAGCGAAAUUCCUUGUCGGGUAAGUUCCGACCUGCACGAAUGGCGUAACGAUGGCCACACUGUCUCCUCCCGAGACUCAGCGAAGUUGAAGUGUUUGUGAUGAUGCAAUCUACCCGCGGCUAGACGGAAAGACCCCAUGAACCUUUACUGUAGCUUUGCAUUGGACUUUGAACCGAUCUGUGUAGGAUAGGUGGGAGGCUAUGAAACCGGAACGCUAGUUUCGGUGGAGCCGUCCUUGAAAUACCACCCUGGUUUGUUUGAGGUUCUAACCUUGGCCCGUGAUCCGGGUCGGGGACAGUGCAUGGUAGGCAGUUUGACUGGGGCGGUCUCCUCCCAAAGCGUAACGGAGGAGUACGAAGGUACGCUAGGUACGGUCGGAAAUCGUGCUGAUAGUGCAAUGGCAUAAGCGUGCUUAACUGCGAGACCGACAAGUCGAGCAGGUGCGAAAGCAGGUCAUAGUGAUCCGGUGGUUCUGUAUGGAAGGGCCAUCGCUCAACGGAUAAAAGGUACUCUGGGGAUAACAGGCUGAUACCGCCCAAGAGUUCAUAUCGACGGCGGUGUUUGGCACCUCGAUGUCGGCUCAUCUCAUCCUGGGGCUGUAGCCGGUCCCAAGGGUAUGGCUGUUCGCCAUUUAAAGAGGUACGUGAGCUGGGUUUAAAACGUCGUGAGACAGUUUGGUCCCUAUCUGCCGUGGGCGUUGGAUAUUUGAAGGGGGCUGCUCCUAGUACGAGAGGACCGGAGUGGACGAACCUCUGGUGUACCGGUUGUCACGCCAGUGGCAUCGCCGGGUAGCUAUGUUCGGAAGAGAUAACCGCUGAAAGCAUCUAAGCGGGAAACUCGCCUUAAGAUGAGAUAUCCCUGGGGACUAGAUCCCCUUGAAGGGUCGUUCGAGACCAGGACGUUGAUAGGUCAGGUGUGUAAGCGCAGUAAUGCGUUCAGCUAACUGAUACUAAUUGCCCGUAAGGCUUGAUCCUAUAACA
rnacentral:rRNA from 1 species